CUCCCUUUCUUUCUUUUCCUUUGGCUUGGGGUCCACCGCUAUGGUGGCAAGGGGCAGCGUACCUAUUUUUUUUCUUUUUUCGACCUCCAUAUGCAUGACCGAGCCACCAUCAUCGAUGGCACUCCAACCGCACCACCACUGUCAGCCACUCUGGCCACAUUACGAUCUAUCCCACUCCUCCCUUUCCACUCUACUCUCUAUCCCAUGGCAGCUCUAUCCUUGGUUCAGCGGAGGGAAGAAGGAAAGAAAGAAAGAAAAAAAAAUAAAGAAAGAAAAGAGAGAAAGAAAGAGAGAGAGAGAGAGGAAGAAAGAGAGAACCUAACCAAGAUUUGAUUCGAUUAGAUCCAAAUUGAUCUCUUAGUGACCAACUCAGACUGCCUGAACCA
rnacentral:lncRNA from 1 species